rnacentral:misc_RNA from 1 species
GAUGAAGAACGCAGCGAAAUGCGAUAAGUAAUGUGAAUUGCAGAAUUCAGUGAAUCAUCGAAUCUUGGAACGCACAUUGCGCCCGCCAGUAUUCUGGCGGGCAGGCCUGUCUGAGCGUCAUUUCAACCCUCAUGCCCCUAGGGCGUGGUGUUGGGGAUCGGCCAAAGCCCGCGAGGGACGGCCGGCCCCUAAAUCUAGUGGCGGACCCGUCGUGGCCUCCUCUGCGAAGUAGUGAUAUUCCGCAUCGGAGAGCGACGAGCCCCUGCCGUUAAACCCCCAACUUUCCAAGGUUGACCUCAGAUCAGGUAGGAAUACCCGCUGAACUUAAGCAUAUCAAUAAGCGGAGGA